AUUAUUUCCUUCCUUGUGCAGAAGUCUUUUAUUUUGAUGAAGUCCCAGUAGUUUAGUUUUGCUUUUGUUUACCUUGCCUGAGGAGAAAUAUCUAGGAAAAGUUCGCUAUGCUAGGUUGUAAAAACUUUAAACAAUAAAGUUCUGUUUCUGCUGUCCUAUUUCUUCUUUCUAAAUUGUCAUACAUUUCCCUUCUAUGUAUGCCAUCAAGUCCAUGAUGCAUAGUUAUUUUUGUUUUAAACAAUUAUAUAUUGAAGAAGUGAAACGUGAGCACAGAUGUACUUUGUAUCUGUAGCUGUAUUUAUGCUCUCUCGGCCCCUCUGUGGCUUCGAGCUGCUCUUUGUUCUUUUACCCUCCACUCCUUCCUUCACCACGUGUUGUUAUGCAGACCCAGGGCUGACAGAUUCUGUCAGCCAUUACUUGUAGGAAAAUGCUUGUAAUUUGCCUUCAUUUUUUUGGAAGAUAUUUUCACUGAUUAUAGAGUCCACGUCGACGGGCACGUUUUCUUUAGCAGGUCAAAGCGCACUGUUGUGCUGGCUUCCGGCUUGCACCGCUUCUGAUGAGAAGUGAGCGCUUACUUUCAUUCCUGUUCCUCUCUAUAUGGUGUGUCCGUUUCCUCCGGCUGUUUUUAGAAUUUUUUUUUUUUUAAAGAAGCCGUUGUUUUUCACCACUUUGUCAAUGAUAUGCUGUAGUGUGGAUCAUCUUGUUUGUCCUGGUAGAGGCUUAGCAAACUGAUUUAAUUUGUGAAUUUCAUCAAAUUUGAAAAUGUUGCAGCCAAGAAGUCUUUAAAUAUUGUUUGCCUUCUCUUCUGUGACUCUGGUUUUAUGAACGGCUUGACGCUGUUCUGAUGUCAAUGAGGGUCUGCUUAUUUUUUCAACUCCCCCCCCAUCCAUGCUUAGGUUCAAACACUUUCUAAGGUUAUGUAUUCAGGUUCACUGAUUUUCUUGUUUUUCCCUGUAGCUUCCAAACUGCUGUUAAACUCAUCCUGUGAAUUUUUCAUUUCAGAUGUUAUAUUUUUCAUUUCUAGAAGUUCCACUGGGUUUUAAACAUUUUUGUGUAUCCUGGAGAAAACACCGUAUGGUAAAUGGAGAUAAUCCUUUAAUCCUUGUACAGGUGCACAUUUCUCCAUUUUGUGGGCAUGUCAGCAUGUUCAACAGUCUCCGUAUCAGUAGAUAUUUGAGUUGUUUCCAGCCUUUAGCUGUUAAAAUGAGGACUGUAAUGCAUAACCCUGAACAUACAUCUUUCCUUCCUCCCUUUCCUUUCCUUUCCUUUUUUUCCUUUUCUUUUUCUUUCUUUCUUUUUUCCAGCGUAUCUUUGGGAUAGAUCCUCAGAGGUGGAAUUGUUGAUUGAAAUGAUAAAUGUCUGUGUACUUUUGCAGCUGUUGUCGGGUGCCUUCCCUUGGGUGGUGUAGGGCUUGUGUACCCGCGGAGUACGAGGAUGUCUGUUUCUCCAAACUCAGCCAUUAGAGAGCAGUGUCAGACCUUUGGGGUUUGGCCAAUUUGUCAGGUGAGAGGCUGUAACUUGGCGUUUUCAUUCAUGUUUCUCUGAUCAUGAAAACCAACCGGCGUCGUCUGGAGCAGGGGCGGUGGUUACGCUGGGUCCCGAUCUGUACCGCCCCAGGGCGUUUGAUGAACCAAGGACGGUCCAUUCCUCUCAGUGCUGAGAUAGGACGAGCUCUGCAGGACUCGUUCGGGGAAAACAAAGCCCCAUUAAGUGAAUUCAUGGGUUUGGGAAACUGGAAAGUGCAGGUUAGUGCCACCUAGGCACCCAUCUUAGAGAUCAGACCGUUCCCAGAGGCAGGUAGGGCUGAGCACCCAACUCUGUGCGUCCCCUCUGGGACCAAGCCGACUCCGUGUUUCUAGACGUUGUGUCAGAAACUGAAGGAGGCCACCACGGGCGAGCCCUGGGAGCUGGACGGCGUUGUCAGAUGAGUGGAUGACCUCCCUAGUGUUCUCUUCCGUGGAAUGAGGAUAAUGUACCUAUGGGCAGCGUGGUCAGGAAGAGCGAGGGUGGGAAGGCCACGGAACAGGACUUGUGUAUGUUGUGUGAGCCGCGGUCGUCAUCUUCAUGGCUCGUUAGAAUGCUGGUGUGUGGGAGGCGUCGGCUGGGCCCUGGGCUCUGUAUGAGUUCCCGUGGCUACUGUAACUAGGUCCCACAGACUGGCGGCUUUGCCAUCAUGCAUUUCUGUUCUCUUGGUCUUAGAGGCUGGAAGUCUGAGAUCCAGGCUCGGGCAGGCUGGUUUCUCCUGAGAUCUCUCUGCUUGGCGUGCGGAUGCCGACUUCUGUCUGUGUCCUCCCAUGGUCGUCCCUGUGUGUGUCUGUGUCCUGCUCCCCUGUAAGGACACCAGUCCUGUUGGGUCAGGGUGCACCUGAACGACCUCCUUUAGCUUGAUCACCUCUGUAAAGACCUUAUGUCCAAACAUAGUCAUGGACUGAGGUGCUAGGGGUCAGGGUUUCAACAGAUGAAUUUGCAGAAGAUGAUUCGUGCCCUAACAGCGCCCCCCAUUCCAUUGCAAAUCCUCCAAACACGUCACUGUAAUCCCUGCUGUUUUGAGGGUCAGAGGAGCCAGGGGAGCAUGAGACGCAGACCAAGCUGGGUAUUUAGGGGCCCUCUGUGUCUCCGACACUGGGCUCCACACUGGUCCCUGGAGAUGCUCCCUGCAUGCUGGGGAGAGAGGAGGCGGACAUGUCUGUCACUGUCUGCAGGGGCUGGUGUCCCAUCAGGUGUGUGCCCACGAACGGGGAAGUGUGGCCGGUUCAGGCAUUGGGAGCGGGUCCUUGGAUUCCACUGCCCUUGGGAGGCGCUGCUGAUCCCCCAGGGUGAUGCCCUCAUCAACAGCCCCAUUUCCCAGGAGGAAAAUCAAUGAGAUUACAGGUUGUAGCCUUAGAGCGCACAAGCCCUAUUAUUAUCUUACAGAAAGCCAGGCUAGCCUUCCUGUGGAGCUUUUAAUAUGACUUGGUGUCAAUACUGUGGUUUGCAGUUACCUCAGGAAACCUAUUUUGAACAAAUAGUAGAUCGUGUUCUCUGGAGCUCAUGGGCAGCCGCACAACUUCUGGACGCCAACAAGCGUACGGAAACAACUCUUCAUGUGGCAGGAGGAAGGCCGCUCAAGGCGGCUGUGUCUAACGCCUGAUCAAGCUUCCUUGUCUUCCUCUGACAUUUCCCCCGACUCCCAGCCCUGGGCUCUGACUGUUGACCACAUGUGGUACUGACAGCUGUGGACUGGCCACGUGGACGCCCAUGUGCAAGAUCCCAGGCCUUCCCAGGAGCAUGGAUGUGCCUGGGCCCCCAGUCGGCUCUGACGGCAGGCUCCUCAGACACCCCGCCAGGUGCGCGUCCGCAGUGGGCGUCACUGAGGCACGGCCCCAGCGCCCGGGACAGUCCUGUGUUUGAAAAGCACGAAGGCUGUCUGAUGGCGCUGUCCUGACAACAGCAGCCACUUGUUCUGUUCGAUGCCUACAACCUACCCCAUACUGGAGCUGUUUGCAGAUAAGGACACUGAGGCAGGAAGCAUCUGGGGCUGGGGGCUAGGCCGCUGACCACCCCUUGAGUGGUGCUCGUGCUGCCUCACUGGCGUGUGAAGGGCUGGGUGGUGGACACCUGAGGGUCUGUAAGGAAGGGCCAGGGGAUUUGUGAUGUGUGGGGUCUCCCCAGGUGGGAGAGCAGGGCUGGGGGGCCCCAGGCUUUGCCUCUCUGGAGCCUGAGCCACCUCGAUGGGGUGGACGUGCCUGUGGCCAUGGAGGCUCAGGGGUUCCCAUAGGCAGAAUAGCAGGGGGUGUGUCUCCGAUCCGGAAGCCGCAGGAGCCAGGGUAGCUGCUCCAGGAUCAGCAGCGCCCUCCCGCAUCUACAGACUUGGGGUCCAGUCGGCGGGGAGGAGGGCCCCCCAGCGGUGCCCGCGUGGAGCUGUGGGUGGCUGUGAACAUAUGACAAGGGGUUGGUCAUGCAGGAUGAAACUACAGACCCUGAGAGGUGAACUUCUCCCCGGCCAGCUCUGCAUUCAUCGUGGACUCGUGGGCUCUCGUUUUGUUAGACGGUGAGAGGGACUGAAUGCUGGUGUCCCCCAGAUUCAUGUGCCGAAGCCCCAGCUCCCGCGGUGAUGGUGUCAGAGGGUGGGCCUUUGGGAGGCGCUUAGGCUACAAGGGGUCACAGGGGUGGGGCCCCCGGGGUGGGAUCAGCGCCCUUGCCAGCAGAGACGCCAGUGUGCUGGCCCCGCAGCCCCUCCCUGUCUCUGCUGCUCCUUUCUUCCCAGGUGACACCCUGCUACCCCCAGGGCCCUGUGCUCACAGGGCCUUCAUUCAGAGCUCCACGGCCACCACCCCGAACGUCUUAAUGAGUUCUGAAAAGGGCCCUGGAUUCUCGUUUUGUGCGGGGCCCGCCAAUUAUGCAGCGGGUUCUGAUUAUCUGCAGCGUUUGCUGCUUGCUCAGUUCUGGAAUAUACACAAGGUAAUUUCAGGCUUGCUAACUCCUAUCUCUGAGCGGAGCAGACUUCCUAACUAGGGCACCAUGUCCAAGCACAGUUCUCUCUGUCGUGCUGUACGCAUCAUAAUACCGGCCUCCAGAGUCCUGGGCUGGGCAGGGGGUGGGGCUCAGGCAUCCCUCUGCCUCCCGUGGGCUGCUGUGCAGGCAGGCCCCCUGCCUGGUGGAUGUCCCCACUGGCCUCAGAGUGACCAGUUAGGGCAGGGAAGGGCUGAGGUGGAAGGGUUGAGGCAGGGCCGGGGGCAGGGGGCUGGGGAGGGGCGCCCAGGUGCCCACGAGGUGGGGUAUUGGCCCCGGGGACUCUGGCUGCACGGACAGGAGCUGCCUCAGGCAUGGCUGGGCCAAGGCUGUGCACCUGCUUGCUGGGGUCACCCAGUUCCGACUAAACGAACCUCCCCAAACAGGCAGUGGUGUUGCCUCGUCCCCGGGAGGAAACCGCAGGGAAAGAAUGGGAGCAGGGGGAGCACAGGCUCCCCCCGCACCCCCUGGCAGGGCAGCCCAGUCAGAGGCGGCCACCAGCCCCAGGGCCAGGUUCUUGCAGCCUCUCCUCACCUCCUGGACACAAGGGGGCACGGCAGCCACCGGCCGUGGUCAGCAGCACAGGUCAGCGUGUUUCAGAUACAUUUGCAUUUUUCGUUAGACAGUCCCUUGGAGCCAUAAGAACACUAACUGGAUUAAAAACCCAACUUUUCUGUGCACUAGCGGAGUGAUCAGUGUCACGGAAGGUGCUCUCCGUGACGGCCGCUGUGGGGAGCCGGGGAGCCAGCGUGCGCCCCACAGCCACCAUCCGCCGGUGGAUCUUCGGGGCCUCUCUGCACCCUCGCCGGGUUUCAGCUCCUUCAACGCUCUGGACCACCCCUGCCUAGGCCCGGGGCGGGGGGGGCGGUGGAGGAGGUGCUGGCCCCUACGUUGGGGCUGCCUCCUCCAGCCAGGAGCCCUCUGCCCCGGACAAACCCCGGACCCCCGAAACGGCCCCCCGGCACGGGCAGCCUUCAUGUGCUGCCUUGCGGGAUGGAUCUGUAGGUGACGGUCCCCUUCGCCUUCUCAGCUUUUAAAAUGAUCAUUUUGCGGCAUAAUAGAAUUUUUUAGAAUUUUAGAUUUAGUUUUCCUGUGUGAAAAAGGCUUAGAGGGUAUCAGAACCUUUAAUAGCUGAUGGGUUGUAACGCACCUUUGAAUGUGAUUGUCGAAAAGCCACUCCAAAUAUUAGCCUCAAUCCAGACAGGGAGUGAGCGUGUCGUGAGGCCUGCUGGGGGCUUUGUGGUGGCUGUGUCGGAGCCUGAGCUGGGCUGGGACACCUGCAGUCUUUGGCCUCCCACCCCAGAAAAUGCUGUGUCUGACGGACCCUUCAUCUACACAACAAAUAACUUUAAGAAGAGCUUAGCUCCUGGAAUAAGUCAAAUUAUUUAAAUUCUAGAUAAAUACAUUUGGCGCCUAAGUCAAUACAGGCUUGAUUUUUAAAGUUCAGUUAUAGAAUCGGAAGCUUUUUGCAUUCAAUUUGAAGGAGCAAGAUGUCUAAACACAUGGUGCCUUCUCUCCAUGCUGCUGCGUGCCCAGAGGACUUCAGAGGGGCAGCCUGCCCGGAAAGCACCACCCCCUUGAGGAAGGGGGGCUGCUGCUCCGGGUGGAACUUCCUGGUGUCACGAGGGUCCCAUGUUCAUCUAAGCCCCCGGGACAGUGAGGGGAAGCUGGGCAGGGGAAGAGAAGGUCUGUGGUCCCUCGGACGUCGGAGGAUGUCUGUAGCCGGGGGGAGAGUCGUUGUCUGAGUCCCCCGGGUCUGUGUAACACACCAUCUGCGUCCGGGGUGGGGGGGCUACCAACUGAAGGCACAAGGAACGGCCCGCGUGGAACCCUGCGGAGACCGUCUGGGCUACCCCGCAGCCAGCUUGGGGUGGGCGGCCGCAGGGGCAUCCCCAUCCCCCAUGACUUCCCGUGGGGCUCUUGGGACUUGCUCCAUGGCCCACCAGCCUCCCCUGCAGCCUUGGCUCUGCCCCCAGGCUGGCUCCCCGCAUCCCCUGCACAGCCUCCCAGCCAUUUCCAGGGGCCUCUGUGAGUGACCCUGGGUCCUCGAGUUGGGCGGAGGUGACCAGGAAUCUUGGCACAUCGGCCUGUACUUGAGUGUGUGUCUGCAUUUCUGGCUCCCUCCCCGAGAGCACAGAUGUACCGUCCAACACUGGGCUUGCGUUUCCGUGUGAUUUAGCAGUCUGUCCACACCGGGCUGGCGGACACCGGCGUAUGUGACCUGUGGCCCUGGCCCCACAGGGACACUUGAUUCCUGCCGUAGACAGCGCGACGCGUUCCAGCACUAAAGGCUGUGAGGCGUCCUGCCCGGGACACGUGGAUAAUUAGCCCCCACCCCGUCCACUGGGGCGCCCGUGGCCCCUCUGCUGUAUGCCCCGAUGACAGGCCCCCCUCCCAGCGCCGUCUCAGUCCCCUCCCCCACGGGACAUGGCCCCUUCUCAGACCUGCCUGCCCCGGGCCUCCCUCCUCCCCCUGCCAACUUGGGGAGGCGGGCAGUGUGGGGCCGGAGGGACCUGCAGCUGGGGGUGACCAACCACGAAGGGCAGGGCCCCGAGUCUGCAACCUGGCGAACUGCAAACUCCCCGCUCCCCCUCCUGCUGCCUCCGUGCCCCCGUCUCUCUGCCCCCUCAGUCUCCAAUCCUCUGCCUCUCUCACUCACACGUGGGCAUAGCUGAAGCACACGUUCUGCACGACAGACCCUGCCCUUCUCAGGUGCACCUGACUCUGACAUUUUCUGUUUUGUUAAAUUAAGAAGAAAAUGAAGCCAGCCUCAGUAAAUGGACGUAUUCUGAUAUUUCCAUUCUACGUAAGGACGCCAGCCAGGGCAGCGGCAGAAGCAGGGCUCCUGGGCUUGGCUGAAGGGGUCCCCGGGGUCGCGUGCAGGGGCCCUGGCCCGCUGGGCAGGUGGAGGCGGGGUGUGUAGCUGCUGGCUUUUGCUUUGUUUUUCCAGCUCUGGGGUGAGCCUUCCCUGUGCAGCCAGGUGGGCUGGGUUUGAGGCCCCUGAUCUGCUGGGGGGGCACGGUGCCCCAGGCUUUGUGCUACGUUCGUGACCCAGGGAUCUUUGGGAGGAGGAGGGCACAGGCAGUGUCUUCCGUGGGGGACAGCAGAGCAUAGGACUUUACUCAUGAACUGUAUCUCAAACAAGGCGACCUCUUUUUCUGCUGUCAGUAAUCGGGAGGCAGGUAAAGGCCAUGAAGAUGCUGGUCAGAUGCAUCCACAGAGAUUAAAGGGGAUUGUGGAAUAAAAACAAGAAAAGCCAAACAUGGAAAAUCCACUUACUCUGUAAAUCACCUAUUUCCCUGAUGCAGAAUCUUUAUUAAAAUGCUUUUCUCAAGGGAAAAUCUCGUGGCUUUUCUGAGCUUUAACACCCAGACUUUGUGUCUAAAGGUCAUUUGGCGAAGAGCGUAAAUCCAAUGGUAAAGUGCAGUGUGGACGGGGGACUGAGACGUGCCAUGGACAGAAGAAGGGGGCAGAGGCAGGCUCCUCCCUCCCAGGGAGCUUGCUUCCUGCAGCAGGGUCACCAGCCACACUGGAUUAAGCCCACGCUACUUCCGUGCGACCUCACACUAACUAACUGCAUCCUGGUCAAUGGGUUUCCCGCGUGCCACCACCGCCAGCAUUGCACAGUGAGAGCCGCUCGUGUUGGGAAACGCUCGUAUGGCGAGCAUCCUCCAAAAGGACACUAACAAAGCAGCAAUUACGCGUCUCCAAGGCACUGUAGGUGUCCACGCUGCACCAGGGGUGAGGGCACAGCUGGAACAGGCCAGGGUCCUUCCUGCACUGCGGGGGACCCCCACGAGGCUGCAGAGGUGGAGAUGCCUGUGGGGACGGGACCCCAGGGAAGAGCACAGGAAUCUCUGGAAGGUCGAGGCGUGGCUCACCAGCAUGUGGCUGGCGGAAUGGAGCUGACCCGUGGACUCUGUGUGUGUCCCUGAUAAAGUGACAUCCAAAGGAAGCAAGGUGUUCUUUGGGGGAUCUGGAGGAAGAAUGGUCGCGUGGAUGGAGCAUGACGGCCCUCAUGUGGAUUUAUUGUUGGAGACGACUCACACAGGGUGUCGACUAUGGACACAGACAGACAGAGACGCUGCGACACCGCUGUCUACGCAGAGUACUCAAGGCGCCUCGAAAGGCAAAGGUAAACCCGAUUCCUCCUGGCAG